rnacentral:rRNA from 1 species
UACGUAGGCAGCGAGCGUUGUUCGGAGUUACUGGGCGUAAAGGGUGUGUAGGCGGUUGUUUAAGUUUGGUGUGAAAUCUCCCGGCUCAACUGGGAGGGUGCGCCGAAUACUGAAUGACUUCGAGUGCGGGAGAGGAGAGUGGAAUUCCUGGUGUAGCGGUGAAAUGCGUAGAUAUCAGGAGGAACACCUGUGGUGUAGACAGCUUACUGGACCAUAACUGACGCUGAGGCACGAAAGCGUGGGUAGCAAACAGG